AUUGAACGCUGGCGGCAGGCCUAACACAUGCAAGUCGAACGGUAACAGGAAGAAGCUUGCUUCUUUGCUGACGAGUGGCGGACGGGUGAGUAAUGUCUGGGAAACUGCCUGAUGGAGGGGGAUAACUACUGGAAACGGUAGCUAAUACCGCAUAACGUCGCAAGACCAAAGAGGGGGACCUUCGGGCCUCUUGCCAUCGGAUGUGCCCAGAUGGGAUUAGCUAGUAGGUGGGGUAACGGCUCACCUAGGCGACGAUCCCUAGCUGGUCUGAGAGGAUGACCAGCCACACUGGAACUGAGACACGGUCCAGACUCCUACGGGAGGCAGCAGUGGGGAAUAUUGCACAAAGGGCGCAAGCCUGAUGCAGCCAUGCCGCGUGUAUGAAGAAGGCCUUCGGGUUGUAAAGUACUUUCAGCGGGGAGGAAGGGAGUAAAGUUAAUACCUUUGCUCAUUGACGUUACCCGCAGAAGAAGCACCGGCCAACUCCGUG
rnacentral:rRNA from 1 species